ensembl:lncRNA
UUGAAUAUUACAUGUGCUUCACAGUUAUUGAAGACAUUCUGUUGUCUGAGGGAGAAUGUCUGUGUGUUUCCUGGUAAGAAUAUUUCAAAAUCCAUGCCCAGUGGGAGGAGUGAAGUUCGGGGCAUAACAUUUCUAGGAAUUGGGAACUGACAUAUAGGAAUAGAAAUGGUGCUGAAGGAGGUGUCUGAGCUGGACCACAGGAGUUCUCAGGAGACUCAAUGACCUUAUAAGGUUAGUUUAUUCCAGUUUCUCUCGCAAUAGCAUGGCAAUACAUUCGGAUAUCAGAUUAUAGAUUCUAGUGCGUAAUUGCUCUGAGGACACCAUGAGAAGAUACUUUCGUUUAAAUUAAAUGUUGCAUCACUUCAUGAUAGAUACAUUAAUCUGUAUUGUUGCCAGUUUUCCCAUGUGAGUUUUUGCUCCAUCAUUGAACUUUUAUCACUUACUGCUGCUGCCUUUGUCAAGAUGCCACAUUUACACAGGGAGAUCAUAACAAGAUGUUUUCUUCCUACUGGUGAGAAAGGCUAGAAAAAAUAUCCACCAAUACAGCCAUAAAUAAAAAAUUCACAGUUCAAAAAUCUGAGUCUUUGGAGAUCUUAGAUGUCUUGGAAUGUGUAUUCCUUAAAACCUCUGGUUAUCAAUUCCUUGUUCUUUAAGUCUUUCAACUUAGACAAAAACGCACAAAUAAAAAUGUAACAAUAACCUCUGUCUUAUAGUGUUUAUCAAGAACUUUAGACCUGAUUUAUAAUAUUUCUUUGUUUAUUUCCUUAUUGCUUUGAAUUUCUAAAUCAUUUUUGUGAUAGCAAUAGUAUACUUCUCAUAUUGUUCCAGUCAAAUUUCAAAAUGAAGUAGAAGAAAAGAAUGAUAUAUCACUGUGCUUCCUGGUGUAAAUUAAAUUGUAAAAGUAGCCAAGGUUUUUAUGUGUGCCAAAAAGUACACUUUGCCUCUUGUUCUGUUU